rnacentral:misc_RNA from 1 species
UUUAUAUUCGUCUUAAAUUGUGAUUAAUUUUUUUGUAUCUAUUUUGAUUUGCUAGCGAACAAGUGUUAAAGUUUCUUUAUUUAAAAAAAUUAAAUAUUUUUCUUAAAAAUAUAAAGUAUUAAAUUGAAAUUAAAGUAAAUUUUUAAUUAACAAGGUUGUGGUAAAAAUGGCUUCACAGCCAGUCGAAACCCAAGGGCUUCAACAGAAGUCGAAACGACCUUCAGACUCUGCCUUUAAACAACAGCGUUUGCCUGCCUGGCAGCCAGUUUUAACAGCUGGUACCGUCCUACCCACCUUCUUUAUCAUAGGUAUUCUCUUUAUACCUGUUGGAGUUGCUCUACUCUAUUUUUCCGAUGAAGUCAGUGAACAUGUCAUCGAUUAUACGGACUGUUUACAAGUGGGCCAAAGUAAUUUAACUUGUUCAGAGUUUUUGAUUUCAAAUCCCCCUGGAUCAACAUGUAAAUGCCAAAUAGAAUUCAAAUUGGAGAAAGAUUUUGUGGGUAAUGUCUACAUGUAUUAUGGCCUUAGUAACUACUAUCAAAAUCAUAGACGUUAUGUAAAAUCUCGUGAUGAUGAUCAACUAUUGGGACGUCUCUCCGAGACACCAUCUACCGAUUGUGUGCCAUUUGCUUAUGCUGACACCGAUACUGGAACACAAAUGCCCAUUGCACCUUGUGGUGCCAUAGCAAAUUCACUUUUUAAUGAUACUUUAAAAUUAAACUAUGGCAGUACUUCUGUACCUUUACUUAAUACCGGCAUUGCCUGGCCCUCGGAUAAACAAAUCAAAUUUCGUAAUCCCGAGGGUGAUUUGAAAACAAUAUUAAAAGGUCAUUAUGCUAAACCAAAAUUCUGGACUAAGGAAUUGUGGCAAUUGGAUGAACAAAAUCCCGAUAAUAAUGGUUUCCAAAAUGAAGAUUUAAUUGUUUGGAUGCGUACUGCCGCUUUACCCAGUUUUCGUAAGCUUUAUAGACGCAUAGAUCAUUCAAAGCCCAAUUUUGAAAAUGGUCUUAAAAGUGGUCUUUAUACUUUAAUAAUUGAUUAUCAAUAUCCCGUCUCAGCUUUUGAUGGUUCCAAGAAAAUGAUUUUAUCGACCACUUCAUUGUUGGGUGGAAAGAAUCCCUUCUUAGGAAUUGCUUAUAUUGUAGUCGGUUGUAUUUGUCUUAUUUUGGGCAUUGCAUUGCUUAUCAUACAUAUUAAAUGUAGUAAAAGAUAUGACAACAUCUCAUCUGACCUUCUAUUACCAAAUGUGAAAAACGACUAGUUGGGAAAAGAGACCUAAAAUAUGUAUAUUUAAAAUCAAUGAAGAUCAAGCUCUUUAUAAAGUAAAGAAAAAAAUCAAUGAGGAAAUGAUCAAUGUCAAUCCUCGUACACCAUAUUCAUAGAUGAUAAGACGGACAACAUGUACAAGAAUACGAAUGAUUUGUAUUUCACUUUAAAACAUAUUUAACUUAAAUUAAUUUUGUAUUGUUAUAAUUAUUAUCUUCAUUUGUUUACGCAGUCCCUCUCCCUGUUAUUCGUUUACAAGCCUUUCUUUUUGCACUUCAAGACAAGAAAUCAGACAGACGUGGCUUAACAUGGAAUGUUUGGAGAACAAGGUUAUUAACGUUAUUUUGAAGCGUAGAGUAGUUUAAUUUUAUACAUUUUUAAAAAUUUACUUUGUUUUUUAAAGUUAAUUUUAAUUGCUAUAAUUAAUUCGUUUUCUUAUGUUUAUUUUACAAUUAUAUUUUUGAGAAUUUUAAUUAUGAUUUCUUGUCACAUGUCCUUUCCGAAAAUUGUACCAAAAAUUACAGCAUUUGACAACUUGGAAAAUGGUUUAUAGUUAAGUGUUGUAAAAUGUUGAUAUAUAUUAUAUACUUUUGUUGUUUUUUUUUAAUUUAAAUGUAUUACACAUCCACAUAACUACAUAUUCGUACAUAUAUAAUAUAUAGUAUUAAAUAUAAUAAGCACCUUUAUUUAUUACAAAUAAAAUUCACUUGUGAUCUUUUAAACUACAAAAAAUAAAUCUGAACUAAUAAAAUAUUGAAAUUAAAGUACAA